AAUGAACGCUGGCGGCAGGCCUAACACAUGCAAGUCGAACGCCCCGCAAGGGGAGUGGCGCACGGGUGAGUAACGCGUGGGAAUAUGCCCUUCGGUUCGGAAUAACCCAGGGAAACUUGGGCUAAUACCGGAUACGAUCUACGGAUGAAAGAUUCAUCGCCGAAGGAGUAGCCCGCGUAGGAUUAGCUAGUUGGUGAGGUAAUGGCCCACCAAGGCGGCGUUCCUUAGCUGGUCUGAGAGGAUGAUCAGCCACACUGGGACUGAGACACGGCCCAGACUCCUACGGGAGGCAGCAGUGGGGAAUAUUGGACAAUGGGCGAAAGCCUGAUCCAGCCAUGCCGCGUGAGUGAUGAAGGCCUUAGGGUUGUAAAGCUCUUUCGCCAGGGAAGAUAAUGACGGUACCUGGAAAAGAAGCCUCGGCUAACUCCGUGCCAGCAGCCGCCGUAA
rnacentral:rRNA from 1 species